rnacentral:rRNA from 1 species
CCCGGCCUACGGGACGCAGCAGUAGGGAAUUUUCGUCAAUGGGCGCAAGCCUGAACGAGCAAUGCCGCGUGAACGAGGAAGGUCUUCGGAUCGUAAAGUUCUGUUGAAGGGGAAAAAGAGCGGAGAGAGGAAAUGAACUCCGAUUGAUAUUACCCUUCGAGGAAGUCACGGCUAACUACGUGCCAGCAGCCGCGGCAAUACGUAGGUGGCGAGCGUUAUCCGGAAUGAUUGGGCGUAAAGGGUGCGUAGGCGGCCUGCUAAGUCUGGAGUGAAAGGUACCGGCUCAACCGGUACAGGCUCUGGAA